rnacentral:rRNA from 1 species
GUUUGAUCCUGGCUCAGAGCGAACGUUAGCGGCAGGCUUAACACAUGCAAGUCGAGCGAGAAAGGGGCUUCGGCUCCGAGUAAAGCGGCGGACGGGUGCGUAACACGUGGAUAAUCUGCCUCGUGGCGGGGGACAACAGUCCGAAAGGACUGCUAAUACCGCAUGUCAGGUCGGAAACUCCGGUUUCUGACGAAAAAGAGGGCGUCCGCAAGGAGCUCUCACCACGAGAUGAGUCCGCGUCCCAUCAGCUAGUUGGCGGUGUAAUGGACCACCAAGGCCUAGACGGGUAGCUGGUCUGAGAGGAUGACCAGCCACACUGGGACUGAGACACGGCCCAGACUCCUACGGGAGGCAGCAGUGGGGAAUAUUGGACAAUGGGCGAAAGCCUGAUCCAGCCAUGCCGCGUGAGUGAUGAAGG